UUAAUAUUAAUUUAAUAUUUUCAGUGUUUGUUUUGUAGAAUUAAUUUAUAUUUAUAUUAUUUUAUAUUAUAUUGAAAAAUAUAUAAUAAAAAAUGUAAUCUGUAAUCUGUAAUAUAUGAUACGUAAAAAUUGAUAGCCUGAAUGCACUGUAAGUCGCUUUGGAUAAAAGCGUCUGCUAAAUGCAUAAAUUUAAUUUAAUUUAAUUUAUGUGUAUGAAGAUAUUAUAGAGGGCCAAAUUACUAUAAAAUACCAUUACAUAUACUAUUAAAUAAAUAUAUUAAACAAAUUAAUAAAUGUCCAUUGGAUUUCAUUUUAGCUUUAGUUUGCAUUAACUUAUCAUAUGUGUGUGUGUGUGUGUGUGUAUAUAUAUAUAUAUAUAUAUAUAUAUACUAUAGGCAACAAUCAUUGAACAUUUAAUUUUCAGGGUUAUGGUUAUUAAUUAAUUAAUAAAAUACAGUACACACACACACACAACACAUACACUUUUUAUUAUAGGGAUAUGAUAAUAUAGUGACAGAUUUCCUGUCUGUCUGUGUUUGUUUGUUCAGAAUGAUUUGCUGGUUCUGGAGAAGCACUGUGGACUCUCUCAGCACCAGAUCCAGACCUGGCUGCGUCACCGCCGAAACCAGGACCGACCCGGCAACACUAGGAAGUUCUGUGAGGCCUCGUAAGCUGACACGUGUUCUGCCUCUGAAGUGUGCUAAAAAUAAACCAUCUGUUUGCUUUUAACAUGGGCUUUUCUGUGUGGCUCCUCAGGUGGAGGUUUGUGUUUUAUCUCAUGGCCUUCUCAGCUGCUCUCGUCUCACUCAUUCAUACUCCGUGGUUUUGGGAUCAUCGGGAAUGCUGGCGCGGAUACCCAAGACAGGUCCGUAACAAACGGCUCUCCACACACAUUGACUUCCUGAUGAACAAUCCCAGGAACUUGAGAUUAGGCAGAAAUCAGAGGAACUAGUGAGCGCCGCACCCCACGAUCCGAUCAAAACAGCCGAGACUCACCUCACAAGAGCCAGAAAUAUAUCCAAUCAUCUGUGCAAUAUUACAAUCAAAACUGUUCUGUUCUACAGAUUUAUACCUUUUUACCUUUCACUUGGUUGAAUAUUAACGAGUUAAUACAUAAAAUCCAUAGUUGUGCUUGUGCACAUCUAGUUAUUUGUGAUUUCAUCUGCAGGCCGUAGCAGGAGCUCAGUACUGGUAUUACAUCGUGGAGUUGGCCUUCUACCUCUCGCUUCUGCUCUGCGUAUCGGUGGACAUAAAGCGCAAAGUAAGUUUCGUUCAAAAUAAUAUUUCCUUUGAAAGAUCUUUUCAAUCAUAAACCGUGCUUGUAUGUUUGUUUCGGUUGUGUAGGACUUCAAAGAGCAAAUCAUUCACCACAUCGCCACCAUUCUCCUCAUGGCUUUCUCGUACUGCGCGAACUACGUGCGCGUGGGGACCCUGGUGAUGCUCGUCCACGACUCUGCUGACUUCCUGUUGGAGGUAAAUCUCAGAAUCUGAUUUGCCACUCUGUGAGCUUCUAUGAUGACAUCAUGACCUCAUCAUAACCUCAGGAUUCACUUCACUCAGGAUUCACAGGACUCAAUACUUAAAAUUCUGUUUAUAUAUAUAUAUAUACAGUACAGGUCAAAGUUUGGAAACAUUACUAUUUUUAAUGUUUUGAAAGAAGUCUCUUCUGCUCAUCAAGCCUGCAUUUAUUUGAUCAAAAAUACAGAAAAAACAGUAAUAUUGUGAAAUAUUAUUACAACUUAAAAAUUUAUUAUUAUUAUUAAAAAUAGUUUUCUAUGUGAAUAUACUUUAAAAAAAAAUAAUUUAUUCCUGUGAUGCAAAGCUGAAUUUUCAGCAUCAUUACUCCAGCCUUCAGUGUCACAUGUAACAUCCGGUCUAUCACAUGAUCAUUUAGAAAUCAUUCUAAUAUUCUGAUUUAUUAUGAGUGUUGGAAACAGUUCUGCUGUCUAAUAUAUUUGAUGAAUAAAAGGUUAAAAAGAACUGCAUUUAUUACAAAAAAAAAAAAAUUCUAAUAAUAUAUAUUCUAAUAAUAUAUUUUCUUUACUAUCUACUUUUUAUCAAUUUAACACAUCCUUGCUAGAAUAAAAAGUAUUGUAUUUUAAUUUUAAAAAAAAGAAAAAGAAAAAAAAAAUUAUUGACCCCAAAUUACUGACCAGUAAUGUAUAUUGUUAUUUUUUUUUUUUACUUUUUAUUUACCAAAGUAUCCUAAAAAAAGUAUCACAUGUUCUGAAAAAAUAUUAAGCAGCAGAACUGUUUCCAACUUUGAUAAUGAAUCAUCAUAUUAGAAUGAUUUCUAAAGGAUCAUGUGAUAAUGAUCCUAAAAAUUCAGCUUUGCAUCACAGAAAUAAAUGAUAAUUUAAAGUAUAAUAAAUUUAAAAACAAUUAUUUUAAAUUGUAAUAAUAUAUCACAAUAUUACAUUUUUUUUUCUGUAUUUUUGAUCAAAUAAAUGCAGGCUUGAUGAGCAGAAGAAACUUCUUUCAAAAACAUUAAAAAUAGUAAUGUUUCCAAACUUUUGACCUGUACUGUAUGUGUGUGUACUGUCUGUGUAUAUUUAUUAUGUAUAUAUAAAUACAAACACAUGCAUGUAUUUAUUUAAAAAAAUAUGUAAAUAUACAUGUAAAUAUUUUCAAAAUACAUACUAAAUGUACAUGUAUGUGUAUUUAUAUAUACAUAAUAAAUAUACACAGAAAACACACAUAUAUUAUGCAAACAAAAACUAAUUCAAAUAGAAAACAGUUAUUAUGAAUUGUAAUAAUAUUUCACAGUAUCACAGUUUUUCUGUAUUUUUGAUCAAAUAAAUGCAGCCUUAGUGAUUAUAAGAAUAAAAGAUGCCAAACUUUUGAACGGUAAAAGUGUCAUCAUUCCGGUAUUUCCAUUUGUGUCAAUCGCCACAAUAAAUGUUUUAAAGUCAUUGCAUCAGAACUGAAUUCUAUCGGCUAAAUAAGUGCAUCUGUUUGUGAUCAGCAGACUGAAUUACCCAACAGUCCGGUUGAAGCAGUAAGAACAAAACCGAUGGCCGCACUGCGCUUGGAACGGUCUCCUCAAAAUGUUCUGACAGCAGUUGCAUAAAUUUUUGUCUUCGAGUUUGUUGGCCAGAAUCUUCUUUGGGAACCCGGGCUUGUUGUUCUCCAUGGAGGACGGGGGGGAGGGUUCUUGAGCAGCCAUGUCCUCCUCUAAACUUUCCUGAUCUAAACAAAAGAGAAUCCACAGCGGCAGAAAACUAUUAUUAAAUAUAGACAACAACGGGGACUUUCCAUUAAAAAUAAAGAUUGUUACACAGCUCUCUGGAAUUCUUAAAUCUGAUUGGUCAAUCAAGUAAUUCUGUGGUCAAACAUAUUUAUACGGUAUAAUUGAUUCACACUGCUUUGGAAGCCUGUUUCUGCCACUGAAUAAUAAUAAAUAAAUAAAUAAUAAAGGUAAUUGUAACUUUAUAUCUUACAAUGUUUCUUGCAAUCAAAUAAAAAGUAAAAAUUGAUAUAAACUCUUGCAAUUCCGAUUUUACAUCUCACAAUUCUGACCCUUUUUUCUAAUUUUUUCCUCGCAUUUGUGAGUGUACAUCUCUCAAUUCUGCUUUUUUUUCCUUUCUGUUUCCUCUAUGGAAUUAACAAAAUUAAAAUAAAAAAAAAAAAAAAAAUAAAAAAAACGUUUUAAAAUUACUAACUUUUAUCUCUAGUUUUGUUACUUUUUUUUGUUUGUUUGCUAAUAGCGUAGUUUAUAGCUACUAAAUUC
rnacentral:lncRNA from 1 species